rnacentral:ncRNA from 1 species
AUCAAGGAGUCUAACAUGUACGCAGAACAUCUCUCAUCGCGAGAAGAGGCGCACUCAGAGCAUAUACGGUGGAAUCCGAAAGAUGAUGCCUGAUCAGGAAGAAGUCAGGGGCAACCCUAAUGGAAUUCUGCAGCGAUUCUGACGAGCAAAUCGAUCGUCAGAAUUAUAGUAUAGGGGCGAAAGAUUAAUCGAACCAUCUAAUAGCUGGUUUUCUCCGAAAUUUCUCUCAGGAUAGCUGGCUCUCGGCCAUUCCGCACGAAACGCGUGCAAGUCUCAUAUAGUAAAGUGAAUGAUUAAAAAUCUUAAGAAAGACCUUGGAACCGAAACGAUCUCAAUCUAUUCUCAAACUUUUAAAUAGGUGAGAUCUCUGACUUUCUUGAAAUCACGAGAAUCUCGGAUCAGAAUGCCAAGUGGGUCAUUUUUGGUAAGCAGAACUGGAGCUGGAAUGAACCAAACGCAGAGUUAAGGCGCCCAACUCGACGCUCAUCAUCAUGAAAAGUGUUGGUUGUUUAAGACAGCAGGACGAUGGCCAUGUUUGAAUUCAUUAAUGAGCGUAUAAUAACUCACCUGUCGAAACAACUAGCUUUGAAAAUGAAUAUCGCUGAAGUGUCGAGCUUAUACUCAGCGGCAAGUGGGGCGUCGCCAUGAAGCCCAGAAGAAUCUGGGCAUGAGAGCCCAGACUGUCUAGAGCUACCGUCGGUGCAGAUCUUGGUGAUAGUAAUAAAUACUCCAAAGGCCCUGGAGGAUUGAUGUGGAAAAAAUUUCGUGUGAACAGGUCGUUGCACACGAGUCAGUUGAUCCUAAGCCCUAGGAGAAAUCCUAUGUCAAUGACGAUUCUCUAGUGUACUACUCGAGCGAUUCUGCAAAGAAGAGAGAGAGAGAGAGAGAGAGAGAGAGUGAAACACGCCCGUCGGGUGGAAGGGAAUCCGGCUCCUAUUCCGGAACUAGCAGCGGAACCGUAUAUAAUUCGGGCCAUCGUAAGAGUGUGUUCGUCAGAGUAACCCAAAAUGACCUGGAGAUCCGGGAAAAAUUUUCUUUUCUGUAUAAGCAUUCGAAUUCCUUGGAAAUCUCUAACAGGGAGAUAGGGUUUGGAAGAAGAUGCGAAGAACCGCAGUUGCGGCGGUGUCCGGAUCUUCUCCUCGGAAGAUUGACCUUGAAAAUCCAGGAGAAGGGCACAUCUAGGUGUCGCACCGGCUUAUACCUACAUCCGCAGCAGGUCUCCGAAAUAAAGAGCCUCGAUAGAUUAAUGUAGAUAGAUAAGGGAAAUUAUAAUAUAGGAAAUUAUAAUU